CUCACACCUUGCUCACUUGCCCGCGCGUAACACAGGAAAAUACUUCCGGACAAAUACAACACCAAUGUACCCGCCCCCAAACUGUAUCUAAAAAUAACCGCAAGCCUCGCUGGGACACCAUCAACAGCUGAAAGUGCAAGAGGUUACAGAUGUUACUGGGAUUGGAAGGGAGACAACUGAGCUCUAUCAGCCCCCUUGUAAGACCGACUCCCAUAGAAACCCCCGAGAACAUCUGUGGUCCUUCGUCAGAAGUUGAUCUGGUUCCCCGCCGAGGUUCUUAGAUGCAGACAAUGUGCAAUACGACAAAGUUUCUUCAGUGUUCCAACCACCAGCACAGUGAGCAGGAGUAACACAGACAACAGAAAGAUCAUCACAUCUACACAAUAGUAAGCGUACCAGGGGAGUCGGUGGGAUUCUGAGCG